CGACCGGCGCACGGGUGAGUAACACGUAUGCAACCUGCCCUCCGCAGGGGGAUAACCCGGAGAAAUCCGGACUAAUACCGCGUGGUACACCAGUGGGGCAUCCCACUGGUGUUAAAAGGAAGUGAUUCCGGCGGAGGAUGGGCAUGCGGCGCAUUAGCUAGUUGGCGGGGUAACGGCCCACCAAGGCGACGAUGCGUAGGGGUUCUGAGAGGAAGGUCCCCCACACUGGUACUGAGACACGGACCAGACUCCUACGGAAGGCAGCAG
rnacentral:rRNA from 1 species